rnacentral:lncRNA from 1 species
UGACAAAAGGAAUAUAUUCUUUGUUUAAUCCUCGAAUAAUAUUCCUUUUCAUUUGAGCCUCCGAAAUAGGUUCCUCCGGAUCAAGAGCAGAAAUUUCCGAACAAAUAUUUUUAACUUUUAAGAAAAAUUCGGAGAUUGAGAGCUCACCUUGAGUAGUUUGUGCCAACUUAUUCUCUAAGUAUUGCAGCCGAGCAACGUUCUUCUUGUUAAGCAAUGCACUUAGAGUAUCC